rnacentral:rRNA from 1 species
UGAACGCUGGCGGCGUGCCUAAUACAUGCAAGUCGAGCGAACGGACGAGAAGCUUGCUUCUCUGAUGUUAGCGGCGGACGGGUGAGUAACACGUGGAUAACCUACCUAUAAGACUGGGAUAACUUCGGGAAACCGGAGCUAAUACCGGAUAAUAUUUUGAACCGCAUGGUUCAAAAGUGAAAGACGGUCUUGCUGUCACUUAUAGAUGGAUCCGCGCUGCAUUAGCUAGUUGGUAAGGUAACGGCUUACCAAGGCAACGAUGCAUAGCCGACCUGAGAGGGUGAUCGGCCACACUGGAACUGAGACACGGUCCAGACUCCUACGGGAGGCAGCAGUAGGGAAUCUUCCGCAAUGGGCGAAAGCCUGACGGAGCAACGCCGCGUGAGUGAUGAAGGUCUUCGGAUCGUAAAACUCUGUUAUUAGGGAAGAACAUAUGUGUAAGUAACUGUGCACAUCUUGACGGUACCUAAUCAGAAAGCCACGGCUAACUACGUGCCAGCAGCCGCGGUAAUACGUAGGUGGCAAGCGUUAUCCGGAAUUAUUGGGCGUAAAGCGCGCGUAGGCGGUUUUUUAAGUCUGAUGUGAAAGCCCACGGCUCAACCGUGGAGGGUCAUUGGAAACUGGAAAACUUGAGUGCAGAAGAGGAAAGUGGAAUUCCAUGUGUAGCGGUGAAAUGCGCAGAGAUAUGGAGGAACACCAGUGGCGAAGGCGACUUUCUGGUCUGUAACUGACGCUGAUGUGCGAAAGCGUGGGGAUCAAACAGGAUUAGAUACCCUGGUAGUCCACGCCGUAAACGAUGAGUGCUAAGUGUUAGGGGGUUUCCGCCCCUUAGUGCUGCAGCUAACGCAUUAAGCACUCCGCCUGGGGAGUACGACCGCAAGGUUGAAACUCAAAGGAAUUGACGGGGACCCGCACAAGCGUGGAGCAUGUGGUUUAAUUCGAAGCAACGCGAAGAACCUUACCAAAUCUUGACAUCCUUUGACAACUCUAGAGAUAGAGCCUUCUUCGGGGGACAAAGUGACAGGUGGUGCAUGGUUGUCGUCAGCUCGUGUCGUGAGAUGUUGGGUUAAGUCCCGCAACGAGCGCAACCCUUAAGCUUAGUUGCCAUCAUUAAGUUGGGCACUCUAAGUUGACUGCCGGUGACAAACCGGAGGAAGGUGGGGAUGACGUCAAAUCAUCAUGCCCCUUAUGAUUUGGGCUACACACGUGCUACAAUGGACAAUACAAAGGGCAGCGAAACCGCGAGGUCAAGCAAAUCCCAUAAAGUUGUUCUCAGUUCGGAUUGUAGUCUGCAACUCGACUACAUGAAGCUGGAAUCGCUAGUAAUCGUAGAUCAGCAUGCUACGGUGAAUACGUUCCCGGGUCUUGUACACACCGCCCGUCACACCACGAAGAGUUUGUAACACCCGAAGCCGGUGGAGUAACCUUUUAGGAG